UUGCAAGGCCGAGGAGCCCAAGCUGGAGGCAUGCAGGGCCGAGGAGCCCAAGGUGGAGGUAGCCGUGGAGACAGCUGUCUCAGAAAUCAGAGUUCCGGUUCCACUUCAGGUGGAUAAAAUGGACGCCUUACUGCAGGCAAGAGAAGCUGGUGUCAUUCCGGAAAUCCUGAAGAGGACUUUUACAGAUGGAAAGAAGA